rnacentral:lncRNA from 1 species
AAUGUAUCCCUGCUACCCACAAACUUUAUUUAAAAGAAUCUUGAAAUCAUUGCUUCAAAAACGACUUUAACACAUUCCUCAUUAGCAAACCUGCCAACUACUAUGUCCUGGCACCAAGCAGCGCCUGGCCCCUUCUCCAUCACUUUGGAAGGUGCAGAGACUCCCUGGCCCAUCAGGAACUGGGAGUCCCAGAGAGCCAGUGGAAAUUUAAAUGAAGCCAAAAAGCACGAAGCAAAAGAGGUUCCUGGUGAAUAGUGAAAUGGGUGCACUGCCCCCUUAGAAGAAUGGAGGAUCACCUUAGGUGUGGAAGCCAGAAGGCUUUGAGUGGAGGAUGAGAUCCGAACCACCUGAAUGCUGGCUAAGGUUUUUAGAAGGCAAGAGAGGCCAGUUGACUGCAGUUGCCCUUGGGGUUGAUAAUCCAGUGACCUGAAGCCCCGGGACUUGCAAGCAGGCUAGGGCUGGAAUGGGAAAUGCUGCCUCUGGGCGCGUGGAGGCUGCUGUUUCUGCAGACGGUGAACUCUCCCACUCUUCUCAGUGGCCUGCUUCCCUUUGGCUGGAGACAAUAAGCUCUUUGAAGCUAAAAUAAGCGGAUCUAUUUUAGGCCUUUGUAGCCCACACUGGGCAAUCUCAGGUUCUG